AUUGAACGCUGGCGGCAUGCUUUACACAUGCAAGCCGAACGGCAGCGGGGAGGAGCUUGCUUCUCUGCCGGCGAGUGGCGAACGGGUGAGUAAUACAUCGGAACGUGUCGAGAAGAGGGGGAUAACCACCCGAAAGGGUGGCUAAUACCGCAUAAAUUCUGAGGAAGAAAGCUGGGGACCUAGGAAUAGGCCUAGCGCUUUUUGAGCGGCCGAUGUCGGAUUAGCUAGUUGGUGAGGUAAAGGCUCACCAAGGCGAAGAUCUGUAGCGGGUCUGAGAGGAUGAUCCGCCACACUGGGACUGAGACACGGCCCAGACUCCUACGGGAGGCAGCAGUGGGGAAUUUUGGACAAUGGGGGCAACCCUGAUCCAGCCAUGCCGCGUGUAUGAAGAAGGCCUUAGGGUUGUAAAGUACUUUUGUUAGGGAAGAAAAGUCAGCUGUGAAUAAUGGCUGAUACUGACGGUACCUAAAGAAUAAGCACCGGCUAACUACGUGCCAGCAGCCGCGGUAAUACGUAGGGUGCGAGCGUUAAUCGGAAUUAUUGGGCGUAAAGCGAGUGUAGACGGUUAUUUAAGCCAGAUGUGAAAUACCCGAGCCUAACUCGGGAGGUGCAUAUGGAACUGGGUAGCUAGAGUGUGUCAGAGGGAGGUAGAACUCCACGUGUAGCAGUGAAAUGCGUAGAGAUGUGGAAGAAUACCGAUGGCGAAGGCAGCCUCCUGGGAUAACACUGACGUUGAGGCUCGAAAGCGUGGGGAGCAAACAGG
rnacentral:rRNA from 1 species